GGGCUGGAUGUGGCACGCGACUCCCUGAGGGAAGCUGCGUCCCGCGCCGCCUUCUCCGCUCCGGCCAUGGCCGGCGGGGUUGCGAUUCGCCACCUCACACCGCCGUGUUUCUCCCCGUUCCCCCCGGUACAGACUGCCUCGGAAAGAUCUGGGGCCCUCCGCGUUCGGGAAAGAUUCAGAUACCACAGGAUAUUCAGAUACUGGGCUGCUUACUGGUUAUGGAGACAUAAAAAAAUGCAGUUGUAAAUGGCAACAAGUCAAACUGGGCCUCUGACUAUAAAGCUACUGGAAAUCAUGCCAUGCUGAUGACAAUACGGGUCAUCUCCUAGUAAAUCUCUUGGCUACGUACAGCACUCCACACAGAGCACCAGCAAAAAACCUGCUCCAAAAUCAGCUCUAAUCUUGAAGUUGCAGUUCUGUGCUGUUUCCUAUUACAGGACAGCAUUUGGAAGGUUAGUUGAUGAAGCAGAUGAAGAUGUUAGUUUUUCACUUUUGGACACCUGGAUUCAAAGUAAAAAAAAAUGUGCAAUGUCAUCCAAGUUCUCAGCAGUCCACUCCACAAAACCAGGCAUAAAGAUUCUCUGGAGGGACCCAAGAUCUGCAGAGCAGAACUCAGGUGUGAAGACCACUCUCUCCAGGGCAAGUAAGAAGUAGGACAGCACAGCCAGGAACAAGAAGGCAGGCAGACAGACACAGGACCGUCUUCCUUUCACUGAAGAGGAGUUUUGGAGCACUUGAGCCCCAACACCAUGAAGCGACUCAGGCUGCCUCGGUCAGUGCUACACCCAGAAGGGAAGGACAGCAUAAAGCCGACCCCCAGCGGGGCGGACACCGCGGAUGGGUCCCGCUCACAGGUGCGCGUCCCGCGUGGGCUUUAAGCGGCUUCCACGGGCCACCGGCCGCGUCCCCUCGGCUGGCCGAAUCCCCCGCCCCGCUGGCAGCGGCGGCGCCCGCGUCCCAGCAGCGUGACCCCGAGGCGGCAAGGACGCGCAGGAGGAAGGUCAACGGAAACGAGCGAGCGGCGGCCGCCGGGGCAGGGCUGCGGCACCGAGCCGGCGCGGGGCACGCAGCCCAGGGGCGGAGAAACCUCCUCAACCCUCGGCCCACCGGAGGGGCGGCCGCCCUCCCCACGGCCAGCCCUGCUUCGUCCCUCUCCCCGCCCCCGGGAUGCACUUACUCGAAAACGUGCUCCGAGGUCCAGAUCUUCAUGGCGGCGGGCAGGGGCAGGGGAGCCGCCGCCGCCCCGCUCUACUCUCGACUCCCCCGCCGCUGCGGCACCCGCGGACCCGGCACCGCCGGCAGCCGCUGCGCCUGCGCAGCGCAGAGCGAACCGGCGCCGUGCCGUGCGCAACACCGACCGCCAAUCGCCGCGCGGCCUCGCGGUGACGUCAGGUGUCACGUACCACGUGAAAGUCACGCAGAGGCCUCUGGACCGCUGCGCUCGAGCGGCGGCGCGUGUCACGCGCCUGCCUGGUGCCCGGUAAAGCCUACUGCGCAUGCGCGCGGCCGUGGGGCGCGCGUGGAGCGGCCGUUCGUGCUGCGGGGCGGACUGUGCUGGGGCUGCUCCGCUCUCUGGCGUUCAAAGUGACGUUAAGGCCACAGCUCUGAAGUUUCUUCAGUUCUUCCCCCCGCCCCGUGAGCUGAGGCAACUGGGUAGCUUCCGUCAACUAAGAACUGAGUUCGAGUUACAUUCGAAAACGUUUCAAGUUAAGCGAGUGUGUUACAAGACGCUCAUGAAUAGAACCGGCCAGCUUUUGCAAGGCUUCAUCAGUCGAAGUUGGAGUUAAUCUGCGUUUUGUACGAUCCCAGCCCCUCAGGAGCCCUCCUGCUGCUGCCGUGGGUGCAAUGGGGCGCCGCCGCAGGGGCAGAGCGCGCCAGGGCCCGCCUCCCCCGCGGACCGUUCUCGGGGUGGGCCGUGGCGCGGUUGCCGGUCACCAGAGGGCGCUGAGAUCCUCCGCGUGUCCCUGGUGGAACAGGGCCGUGUGUGGGCUCCGAGAGAGGACACGUAGGGAUGUUAUUUAACCGAUGUGCGAGCAGGCAUACCAACGCCCCACCCAGGCCAGCUUACUGGUGUCCUUAGCCAACUUGUUUUGUAAGUACACUGCGUGGAAGUUAUUUUAUAACCAGCAGUUACAAAACAGCAUCAUUACUAUUUCCAUGGUAAGAAGCACCUUCUGAAACAGAUUGUUCCAGCAUGGAAGGGAUUUGGCUAACUGUCCUGAAGUGUUCUCUUACUCAUCCUUGGAAUAAAACAGAAGUGAUUUACAUGAUUUAUAAAGCAGUAAGAAAUCAGUUAUGGCAACAAACAAAACCACAUGCAUUUUGUGGCAUAUCAUCAAGCAUAUUCUUGUACAGUGCUCAAGAUAGCAAUGUUGAAAGUGCCUUGAGUUGUGUAGAAACUGGAUUUUUUUUAAACAGAGAGACAGCAGGACAGCAUCUUAUGGACACAACUCUGAGCCAGUGAGUGACUGUUAUGUUCUCACAACUGCACUGUAAUGGCCUCACUGGGAAAGGUCGAGAGGGAAAUUUCCCAGAAACAGGUUACUUCACAAGGUGAAAUUUGUAGAGUCUUUCUGCAGUUCCAGAAGUCCCAGCCAGUCUGUGGAAAGAUGACUUAGAUUCAGUGAGUAUUUCUACGUGUUCUUGUUGUUUGCACUGAACAUAAAUACAGAAGUUAUUAUACAGAGAACCUACUAUUUAAUGAUAAAUUACCAGAUUCUGUCAGUAGCAAAUACUUAAGGGAGAUCUGUUAAGAGAAUAAUUUUUUGCUGGAGAGACCUGUCUUGAUUUUAUUUUUCCUGACUCUUCCACCUCAUGAGACUAUUCCUAAACAUGGUUAGUAUGUUAGUAAUCUAUCAUAGGGAUUAUAGGCUUCAUAUAGAUUUUGGCAGAGCAAUCUCCUUGGUAUGACUAAGAAAGACUAGAAAUUGCUUUCAGAAUUGGGUAUAAAAGCACUUUGAGAUUCCAAUGAAUUCAUUUGCAGAACAAGGCAUUAUGACUUUAUAUUUUCAGACCCACGUUUGCCAGCAGAGAGGUGUGAAUUGUCCCCUUGAAACAGCCUCAAAAAAUAUCCAUCGUUUUGACUGAAAAGCAUAAAUGUCAGGAAAUAGGUCACAAACCAAAAGUCACGUUACUUCCAGCGUUAGGCCCAGAUCAUUCGUGCACUCCGUAAUGGUUACCAAAGCCCUAGACCACCAACCCACUCAGGCUUAGAGAAUUGUGGUUUUAUCCUUCUGUAAGAAAGUGUCUUGUCUCACACUUAGAAAAACCAACACUGUCCUGGUUCAAAGCCCUAAUCCCAGAGAUCAAUUAGGCCACUCUACAGGACAAAAUGUCACUAAAUUCUAAAGCGAAAAGGGUUGGGUGCCAAUGGCAGCGAUUCAAGCUGUACUCCUGAAUGGAAUGAAUGCAGGUCAGAAGUAGCAGUCAGAAUGGAUCACCACAACCAAAUGUUCCUGUGGUAUGAUUGCAGAUGACUGAGACAGUGAAGAACAGGCAGGGAAAGUUCCAUAUUUAACCGCUGCACUUCUUGCAGUAGGCAGGAGAUGAGCUCUGGUUGCUCACCCUGCUUCAUGGAUCACACUACUUCACCGCUUUCCGAUUUCAACUGAGGCAGGUCUUCUGUUUCAUAGACCUAAGAAAAAUGUAUUUGGUAGUGUAUUUUUCCCCUGUUGUAUUCUCAAAUAUAGUUAACACUACAAUACUGCAGCAGUUUCUUUAUCUGAAAUUAAAAGUUUUGAUGUGUGUGAAAUAUUGGUGUUCACAUGCAGUAUUCAAAGGUCUUGCUCUUCUCUUGAGCUGGAAAAACAAGUUCCCACUCCCUUUGUCAGUCUGGCAGUUGUACUGUCAGAAAACUGACAUUAUCGAUGUUUUCCAGACAUGCCUCUUUGAUGACUUGCGUUAUACAAUUCUUAAUGAACACCCCAUCUAGAAAAACUUUCAUCAGCAGCAGUCAAUUCAGUAUAUCAGGCUGUUAGUGCUUGGCUGUAUUUUCCUGUAUGUGCUUUUUAAAAAAGCUUUGUUGGAUAGCAAAGCCCUUUUUUUCCCCAGCGCUUCCAGAAUCAGCUCGUGAAUGCCUUGUAAGUCAUUAUACAUCUCUGUAUGAAAAGGUCACCUCAAAUUGUACUUUUAAUAAGCAAAUGCCCUUCUUGUCAGAAAGCAAGCACAGCAAUAUCUCAUUGUGGAAUAGUACCAACUCCUCUAGUUCUUGCUCAUACUUCAAUAAUAGUUGUGUUCAAGUAAUUUUGAUCAUUCCAAAUUUCUGAUUAGUAUCAAAAGGAGACACUAGUGGGGAAAUGCCACCACUGUGCAUUGCAUCCUGAAAACGUGGUGUUAGUUGCAAAUGAGUUUACAUUAUGAUACAUUUAUUAGGUCUGGACAGAGCUCAAACUGCAUCAUGGAUUAGCAGUCUGAUGCUUUAGUGCAUCUCUUUGUCUCCUCAGAGAAAUAUAGAUGGAAUAAAAAUAUUUCCUCUUCAAUACUGAAAAUGCAGUUUUAUCGAAAUAACCACCAUUCUUUACCAUUUUUUUUCUCCUCUGAAUGGCAUUAGUAGUUCCACUGCUGCCAUUAAUCCUAACAGCUGCUUCCCACUGCUUUAGUAAGUUGGUUUCCUGCUCCAAAACCUUUCACCUUCCUUCUUCAUAACUGAUGUAGUCUCAAAUUCCUUGUCACAGCUGAGGUCAGGGCUCAUCAUCAGACCCAGGGCAGAGGGAAGUGACAGGAAUGCAACAAACAGCAUUUAAGACCACUGAGCUUUAUACUGUCGUGAAGCCACCUGCCCCAAUCAAGGUGGCUGCGCUGUCAGACCACACUCUGUACAACAGAGUGCUCAGCUUUGGCCAGGCUGGUCACGCUGCUUGGAGCACACGCCACCAUCUGCAACUCACGUGGCGCCGGAGCAGCUGUUCCUAUGGCCAGGGUGAAUCCUGUAAGGAAGCAAUGCACCUGAAUUUCUGUUUUCUGCACCGCAAACAGCAAAUGGAACUGAAAAAUCACAGAAAGACCAUGCUGAUAUUGCAGGGGAGGUAGUGGGGUUGCAAGAGUAAGUGGUCAGGGCUGACGAAGCCAAUGCUGGACAGAAUGCCAGAAUGGAAUCACAGCUUGGUUUUAGCUAGACACUCAACUGUUUUCUAAGUUCAGCGCAUUUGUUCUACAUCCUCUAACAGAUACUGACUUGGUCAUUGUUAGUAGCGUGCUAUUUGGUUCAACCCAAAAUAAAACACAGAUAAGCGUGAGACAACCAAAUGCCUGUAUUUGUUUCUAUACUUUAUCAGUCAACUAGGAGAGGUUUGGUUUCUUUGUGUGUGUUGUUUUUUUUAAUAUUUUUAAAUUUUAAUCCUUUAGUAUUUAGGGCUCUUCCUCCCUCGAUUCGAAGGAAAAUUGGAUUAUAGAAAUAGCCAAGAAAUCCCUUUCCCCUAACCCUCUGUGUUCUGAUGAAAAUGGCUGUCAAAUUACAUAUGAAAUGCAAAUAAAAAUUUUUACAGAAUA